CCUGAAAAGGGCAGUGUCCUCUCGCCAGCGCUGCGGAGACCUCCACCCCAGGACAGCUCCUCCUCCCCCAGCUGGUCCCCUCUUGCCCGCGAGUCCCCUUGCCUCUAGGACUUGUCAGAUCUGACAUUGUGGGCGGAGGUGCGGGCAGGCCCGGGGGAGGAGAGAUUAUAGCGAAGGAGCCUCAUUCCCGAUCAAGAUGAUAGAGGUCCUCACAACAACUGACACUCAGAAACUGCUAAACCAGCUGAACGCCUGUUGGAACAGGAGCCGAAAUGCCAGCCAAAGGUCUGUGGCCUGAGACUCAUUGAAUCCACUUAUGAAAAGGCCUCAGGAUGACUGACUGCAAGACUAAGGGACUUUGAAGUGAAGGAUCUCCUUAGUCUAACUCAGUUCUUCGGCUUUGACACAGAGACAUUUUCUCUAGCUGUGAAUUUACUGGACACAUUCCUGUCCAAAAUGAAGGUACAAUCCAAGCACCUUGGGUGUGUUGGACUAAGCUGCUUCUACCUGGCAGUAAAAUCAAUAGAAGAGGAAAGGAAUGUCCCAUUGGCAAGUGACUUGAUACGAAUAAGCCAGUACAGGUUCACAGUUUCAGACCUGAUGAGGAUGGAGAAGAUUGUCUUGGAGAAAGUGUGCUGGAAAGUGAAAGCUUCUACUGCUUUUCAAUUUCUGCUACUCUAUAAUUCACUCAUUCAAGAGAAUUUACCAUUUGAAAGAAGGAUUAGCCUUAAUUUUGAAAGAUUAGAAGCUCAACUUAAGGCAUGCCACUGCAGGAUCCUAUUUUCUAAAACAAGGCCUUCUGUGUUGGCAUUGCCUAUCAUUGCACUGGAGAUCCAAGCACAGAAGUGUGUAGAGUUAACAGAAGUCGUAGAAUGUCUUCAGAGACAUUCCAAGAUAAAUGGCAGAGAUUUGACCUUCUGGCAAGAACUCGUAUCCAAGUGUUUAACUGAAUAUUCAUCAAACAAGUGCUCCAAACCAAAUGUUCAGAAGUUGAAAUGGAUUGUUUCUGGGCAAACUGCAUGGCAAUUGAAGCAUAGUUACUACAGAAUAACCCACCUUCCAACAAUUCCUGAAAUGGUUCCUUAAUUGGGUUAUUCCAGCAACAAAAACUUCUCUGAAGCCUUUCACCACAAUUCUGAAGGAUGGAUUCCAUACUGUUAUAGUGGAUUUAAGCUGUAAAUUCUCAAAACAUCAUAACUGGAUUAGUAUUGAUGUUCUCAGAUUUGGGAAAACUGCCUAAUUAACAUUAUGCCACAGUGGAAUCAUGCUUAAAUUUGAAUUCAGCUGAGGCAUACAAACAAAGCCAAGUCCAUAAUGUGAAAUGUUAAAGAAAAGUCUGGGAAGGUAAUCUGUGAAUCUUCAUUUCUAACAUUGAUCCAACUUUUUAUAUUGGGUCAGUAUAUUUAGGAGUUAUUAAAAAUGGUAACCUACUUAACUUAAAUUUUAAAUUAUGGGGUUUACAUCAAAGCCAAUAUUUCACAAAUGAACUUUUAAGACAUUAUAAGGGUCACUAUUUUAGACAGUAAAUAUGGUUUCUUAACACCCACAAUGCAAUUAAUAGAUUAUCCAGAGAUGUGGACUUGAUUGCUACAUGGGAAUUACAUUCACAUUUUAUAUAAAGCAAAACUACAAACCUGUUAAUAUUGGAGUAUUAUCUUUUAACAUUUUUACUAUAAGACAGGUAAUGUUUGUGUCCAGGGAAAAAAGUUUUUAUGCAAAAUCUGCUUCAAUAUAGUCACAUUGAGAAAAUUCGUUUUAUUGUACUAGUGACUCAAAUUAAUAUCACUCUGAAAACUUGAUUGAACACUCCAGAAGUUUUUACUAAGGACAGUUUUUAUAAAACUGCCAUUGCUUCAAUUUACAAUUCUGUUUAAAAUGAAGGGAAUAUACUUUCACUAAUUUUUCCCUACUAUGCCAACAGAAGGUCUUAAGUAAAUACUCAACUUUAUAAUUAUGAGGUCGCUGAGAUAGUGUUCAGCACUUGCUAGUAAGUCAGUGAAUAUAAGAAAUCUACAGUGUUAAAAGUGUUAGAAACCAGUCGGUGCAAUGUGUAGCCUGAGUCCAUCCAAGAUGAUUGUGCCCAAUGUUGACAUCAUGUUAUGGAUAAAUAUGCACUGGAAAAUAAACCAAAGAAUCACAGUAUAUCUCAUACUUUUGUAAAGAGUAUGCUUUGUAGAUAAUUUUUCAGUUUUCCCAAAAGGCUGAUAGAUUUCAAUAUUUUAAUUACAUCCAUGUAAUUCUGAGUUUGCAGAGGUAACCUAACCAACUACUAUUAUGUUUUAGUACUAAGGAUAUACAUUUCAAUAAAAUUAUUGAAAUGCA